GGGCGGGGCGGAGCUGACCCCACAGACUCCGCCCCACGGCGCCUCGCCCUCGAGGAAGGCUCCGCCCCGCCCCUAAAAUCGGCACCCUUCGCAGCCCACGCCCCUCGGAGGCUCGCCCCGCCCACCCCUCGCCCCCGCAGAACUCCACCCUCCCCCACCCCGGAGCCGCCUGGUUCCUCCUCCGCAGAACCCGCCUCCACUCACUCCUCCUCCGCCUCCAGCGCCACUUCGUAUCUCCUCAUUCCCGACAUGUCCUGGGCUCCGAACGUCUCCUGGGGAGCGGCAUGAUUCAAUCAGGGAUUCCCUAGCCCCAGGUCCCCUUCUCCGUCAUGCUCAGGACGAGGCUGCCCAGUUCUCAGGUGUGGAGUCAGGUUUUGGAGCUACACCUUGGGAGGCCGAGGCUUCUGCACCAGGCAGCAAGAAAAGUUUUCCCAAUCCCCACGUCUCCUCUACCCGUCCCUGACUUCUGCCCUGCCAAGUGCCUCUCUUGCCUGCCGAGAGAGGUCUUGUAUGACCCUGGGCUGAGGAGGAAUAGGUCCUCAGAGAGAGUCCAGUCUAGAAAAGGCCAGGCUACGGAAAUACCUGGUUGAGUGGCCUCAGCUAAGCCACUGAAUGUCCAGAGGGUCAUUGCCCUUCCUCUCUGGCCUGAGACCUAUCUUCCUGUGAUAUGUUUUUUUUCCCUACAGUCAAUCAACAGAUAUUUGCUGAAUGACCAUCUGUGUGUCAGGCACUGUGCUGGGCAUGAGAAUGUAGUAGUAAAGAAGACAGGUGACCGGGCGCGGUGGCUCACGCCUUUAAUCCCAGCACUUUGGGAGGCCGAAGUGGGUGGAUCACAAGGUGCAGUACAAUGGCCAGAUCGCAAAGUCAUCCCUCUGCUCACCUGAGACAAAUGCAUAUCUAAUUGCUUCUUCUGCCCUAUUGUUUAUGCAAAAAUGCAGAUUCACUGAGCCAGACUAAGGCAUCAGUGUGACUAUUCCUUUACUCCCCACUCCAUGUAAAUUGUGUAGUCAGUGAAAGAUUGAUCAAAGACCCAAAAGAAUGCAGCCUUUUGUCUCUUAUCUACCUAUGACCUGGAAGCCACCACUUCGAGUUGUCCCGCCUUUCCAGACUGAACCAGUGUAACAUCUUACAGGUAUUGAUUGAUGUCUCAUGUCUCCGCAAAAUGUAUAAAAUCAAGCUGUGCCUCGACCACCUUUAGCACGUGUUGUCAGAACCUCCUGAGGCUGUGUCAUCUCAUGAGUGUGUGCUCAACCUUGGCAAAAUAAACUGUCUAAAUUGAUUGA